ACGAGUCUCUGCCAUGAUCGCACGUGCAGCUGGAGAGUUGAGCUGUAAUGGGGAAACUAGAAAACAAGGCACGUGUUUCUUAUAUGGGAAAUGUCAGAUGAUGAUAAUCUGAGUCAAAUCCGGAGUUUUUUUUAUUUAAAACUGUUAACAAGUUCAUUAAAACCACUUGCGCUUCCUUCAUAUUUGCGAGUCGACUCGAACGAGUCACCUGAAAGAGUCGUUACAAGCGAUUCUUCCGCGAGGUUCUCGUCUUCUGCAGAUCAAUUUUACCAGUCUUACUGUUUUCGCUUCACCCGAGAGGGGCUUUGUAGCCUCGACACAGACACAUCUCGGACCUAUUCUGUGAAUAAAGCCGCCUAAAAUGUCGCAUGCCGUUACAGAAGCGAUGAUCGAGUCCUAUGCUCUGAUGAUCUUGGUGAUGUCGACGUUCUUCGUUUACUUCUGUGGGAUGGUGUGGGCUUUCUGUAAUCCGAAGCUCAGUGGGAUAGAGGACGAAGACACACCAGAAUGUGAGAGCGAUCAGACCAACGAAGUUGCAGUGGAGCAGUUCUUUCACUCCGCUGGAGAGACGCAGAGGAGCAGAGGCUGCAGAGAGGGGCGCCCCGCUGACCUACCAUGGGCCCAGACUUGUGGAAGUCCAGUGCUUGUGGAGCAGUCUUCUCACAGCUGUUACAUUAACUCUUCUUAUGAUGUGGAUUGACCCACAAACCCGCUUUCACUUCUGUAGGCACCAGCAGUGUCAACGAAAGAGAAGCAUAAACUGUCAGCAGAGCUGUUUCUGAGGUGACCCUCAGCUUCUGAUUCCGUCCUCCUGCUUUUGCCAGCACAGUAGUAAUGACCUCCUCAGGAGGUGCUGCUUUCUUUCAGCAUUGUGGUUUCUAGCAGACUGAAGAGGCUGGAUGUUGAAGAUAUCUUUACAGUGGAGAACCACAUUACUGGAGCGUUAUUCUGUUCUUUUCACUACCGCUGCUCCAUCAUAGAAACAUUAGCUGCUGACUCAAAUGUCUAGCAGUAACAGAGCAUUUACUGAUCCACUUGUUUUACUGGAUGAUACAAAGACGGUAAAUGAUGUUCAGAACAAUUUCAGUCACUGAUAUAAGUCUUUAAGAAGUUUAGUAAGACCCCAUCUAGAAGCGUUUGUUUCAGAACUGAGCCAGAUUGGUCCUUCAGUUGUCUUGCGUAUUUCUCAAGGUGGUAUGGCUUUAGAUGGUUCUUCUAGGGUUCUUUAGGGAAAAAAAUGGUUCUAUUUAGACCCAUGAGUUAUAUAUAAAACAAUUUCAUGAUGUGUUGUAUAUGGUUCUAUAUAGCACACAAAGGUUACAUUGUAACAAUACCAGAACCGUUUUUGGUGGUAUAUAGAAUCAUAUACAACACAAUGGGUCAUCAAUCUGAAGAACCAUUCCAUGAAAAGGGUCUAUAUAGAACUCAUGGUUCUAAAUGGAACCAUUGCCUUUACUAACAAACUCUUUUCUAAGUGCGCAAAACUAACAGUUGACAAAACCCUAAACCACAAAAAAACCUCCCAUCAACCCUCUGCAAAGUGGAUUAGGGAUUAGAAAGAGCACUCUCUGUCUGUGGUCAGCCACUGGAAGGUGAUGACCCAGCAGACUCUCUAUCCACUAGCACUAGCUGUUCUCUAUCUGAUUUGGGCUCAUCUCUAACAAAAGGGCAACAUCAUCUUUAUACCAGCUACCAAAUGAGGCCAUAGGGGACAACCAGAAUAAUCAGAAAGCCGAGUCUGUCCAAAAAUGAUUAUUUUACUUGGAAUGUUCAGCGUCUGUUCAAGUUUAAACCAUCAAGGCACCACUUAUUUCUGAAUCUUGAUUCAUCAGUAUGCUCAAAUAAACAUUUAACUCUUGUAUUGAACACUGUAAUAACCAGUUUACAGAAACUCUAUAUGGUCCUCAGAUAGUAGUUAGGAUGGAAUUAGCAAGUAAAUACAAGGGAUACAAAGGCACAUCUGCAACAGAAUGUCUAACACUACAAGUGCUGUUUUAAACAAUGAAAACAUUCAAUUACAUAAAGGUCCUUAGUAAGAGGCUGAGGAGUGGAUCGUAUUUUAAACUGACAUUGUUUUGAACCUUUAUAUAUAUUUUUUUGAUAUUCUGAUGUCAUUA